rnacentral:rRNA from 1 species
AACUCUCGACAACGGAUAUCUCGGCUCUCGCAUCGAUAAAGAACGUAGCAAAAUGCGAUACUUGGUGUGAAUUGCAGAAUCCCAUGAACCAUCGAGUCUUUGAAUGCUGUUGCGCCCGAAGCCAUUAGGCCGAGGGCACGUCUGCCUGGGCGUCA